GAAACAUGGUGUACUGACCAAUUAAUGACGUAUGUCUGAAAACUAGCAAAUGAGAACCUCAAUCACCGUGUUUACAUUUCUAAUCAAGAAGAUGCUCAUCUAUGUACUCAACAACCCAGGUUUCCUUGCAUCUGAGCUGCUGAAGCGCUUCAAAAACAACAUCUCAUGUUUCCUAAAGAAGAUGAUGCCUGGACAAGCAGCACAAGUCGUUCAGGAGGAAGAGGGUAAUUCAGUUGAGUUUCCUGAGCUACCCAGCUGCCGUGAUUCAAUAACCACCAGGAAAUUUUGAUGAUGGUGCUCUCCUGAGCUCCUCCCUGUCCCAGGGAAGACAAAAUCAUUGAAACUGUGCAAAUAAAGUGUUGCUUCGCUGGAAUGAGGUCUCAUGGCUGUUUAUGCGGUGACUGGCUGCUCAGGACAGGUCAAGAAGAUACUGGUAUAUGUACUAAGGAAAACAGCUUCAUUUACAUGCAACCUGUUGUACAUGCAUUCUAAAGACGACAUACAUUUCUUCAAAAAGAUUAUGGGACACCAACCAAAACAAGAACCAUUGGAGAUGCUCGUUACUCUUUGAAGGCUUACAGCGGAAUGAAUUCAAAUACGACUUAUUUGAGGAAUUGAAGUUGACUUUAUGGAGCUGAUAAGAAUCUUCUUGGAAAAAAAAAAGACUGGGUAUAUUUUCAAUACACUUUCCUUUUAAGGUCCCUUACCUGUGGAAAGUAAAGAAUGUCACUUUCUGACAGGCCCAGGAACCUCAAGUUAUGUGGGGAUCUCAGGAAGAUGGGGGAAUUCACCCAGUUCGUACAGGUGAAAUUGUUGUUGCAAAGAUUAUGAAUAUGAGAGAAGUCUAGCAUGGCUGACUUCAUCUCAUGUCUGGCCUCAGGCCGGCUGCCCUUGCUCACUCUUGGGCAUAGGCCAAGCUAGCCAUGGGAGGAAUUUAGUUUAUAGUUUAACUUUGAAGCAAGGAUGAUAAUACUUACUCCCUAAAAUGAACCCCUUCCUUGCUCAGGGACUGAAACUACCUUUGUAAGACAAAUGAAAGCCCACAAGAUUAGGAUUAUGAGAGGGUCCUGAAUUAUGCUAAAACACAGGUGUAGCUGACUGAUAACCAGUAUUGUCCCACAGCUUGCCUUUCUAUAAUCUCUUGCUCCUCAGGAGUCACAUGGCCAGAGGUCCUGAGAUUUCUGGUCCUGUGACCCCCACCCAGAGACGGACUUGGUGCAUGAGGACCGUUUUCCACACCCCUAUGAUGUCAUCCUCAAACAAUCAGCAGCACCCAUUCCCUAGCCCCCUGCCUGCCAAACUAUCCAUAAAAAUCCUGGCCCCUGAGUUAUUAAGGAGAUUGAUUAAUAAUCCCAGCCCUG